GGCAGGAGGGAGGGGUAUUCCCGCCAUGGAUGUAAUAAUUCCGGUUUGGAUCGGGAUCGUACACCAGCUGAUGUCCAAUCACACCGCAGGACUUUUAGGCCUUGUCAUAACCAUGACAACAGCCGUGACAUCACUGCAAGGGCUAGCGGAGAGGAGAGAGCGGAGCUCCAGACAGACAGCGGGACUUCGCCGGGUGCCACGCCGGCCCGCACGCACCGAUUGUCGGAUCGAAACCACGCGGACUACCGGGGUGCGAGCGGAGCGGCCGGUUGGACGUUUUGACGGCUGGGCACUGGAGCUUUGUCACGGCCAGCAUGAAGCUCCCUCAUCGGAGGAGGGUGUGGAAGAUAUGGUGGAGGUUGAGCCCGACAGAAAAUGGCAUCUUGUUUUAUUUCUGCCAAUCAAGACGAGAGGAGGACAACUCCCAAACUGGCAAUGACGUAACAGGAGGAUGAAGUGAAGCAUGGAGAGACCAAGACAAUGGAUGUACAGGACGGCAAAAGGGAACUGAGGAGCAGCCGCUGCUGUAAUCUCCACUGUUCAAUUAGCCGGACUGACCGGGACGCCACCUCCACUUCAUUAGCAAGGAAGGGAAGGCGGCGAGGUCCCGUCAGAGGAGCACAUCAUGUUUCUGAGAGAUUUGCUCGUUGGUCAGCGUCGCUGUGAAGUGAUGAGAACAUAGACACUGGAAUGGUUCAUGCCAACACUCGAACAUGCGUGGCGUUGAGUGACAGCACGAGAGCCGCAGCAGCAGCUAAAUGGACCGUGGUCCCCGUUUCCGUUUGACAUGAGAGGUGCUCGGUGAAGAACGUAGAAAAUGAACCGGCGAGGGCCUUUGUGAACCUUCGUCUCAUUUCUGGGUGGUUCGCCUUGCCACGGCAGCAGCUGUGACCAAACAAGCACCUGGCUGCUGGGUGGAUCUCUCCGUCGCAGCACAGCAACUCCAAGGGUAAUGCCGUGUUACAUCAUGAAAAGCAGGAAGACAGGAGGAGUGGUGGAGGAGGAGGAGAGGUCGAUGACAUCACGGACGCUCUCACACUCCUGUUAAAACCUUAUUGGCUGAACGCCUCAUGCCGACUCAUGUGAGCUGGACUUCCCUGAGCUGAGCUGAGCUGAGCUGAGCUGGGUGAACUGGGUGAACUGGCGUCUGCAGCUGGGACACGUCCUGAUGUGGGGGGGGGGAUAGAUUCUGAAUAACCACAAAUUAAGACAUGCAGGAGAAAUCCCUGUUUCCAGAUUUUGUUAUUUGAAUGGAAAACAAUGGGACUUAAAGCACCUGGGACGCUCCUGCAGGUCUAAUGUACCUGAGACUGAUCCAAACAACACCAGCCUCGUCUAUUUUAACACCCGAUAGAGGCGUGGAAGUAGACUAACACAUUCAGUUUACUCUCCUUAUUGUAACUGAGUAGCUUUUUUCGAGUAUUAUCUCAAGUCACUAAUAUUAAAUCAUUCAACUGUGUGUGUAGACCCGAGGAUUUUGCUAUUUUUUACAAAGUACAAGUGUCAUGAACUAAUCCUGUACAGCGUCUCAGUGAAUCCCACAGAGGUGUGUGAAGGUAGCAUUAAAGUAACGAUGACAUUAAACGAUCACACUGAUGUGAUCCAGCUAGUUGGAAGCUAGUACGACAAAGGAAAGAAAAAAAAAUAUAUACAUAAAAACAUCAGUGUUGUAGCAUUAGUGAAUGAUGGAGGACUUUUUCUGUUUGUGUUUUUUUUUGUUUGUUUGUUUUGUCUUUUUAAUUUUUCAAAUGGACUGAUGAGAUGUGCUUCAGUUAGACAUUUUCAGUUUUAUAUCAGUUAUUUUUUUUUUUAGCCUAUAUUUUUUAGAACAGUGAAUUCUAACAUAACUGAAUUAUUUCUAACUAAACAGCGGGGUUAACCUUCAUGUGUUUUGUCUGAACGCUGUUUUCUCUUCUUUUUCUUUGUAUGGAAAGACUCACCUGAAUACACGUAUAAAUGAGCUACUUUCUCCUUUUGCUGAAUAAUGUCUCACAUCAAUAAUUUUGCUUUCACUCAAGUAAAAGCAUCAGUAAAGUAACCGCAGGCAGCCUGAGUAGAGAAUUUGGAUGCUCUUUUAGAGUUUGAUGUCAGAUCAUGAAAAUGUUAACGCAGGAACUAACAGUGAUUUUCUGUUUGUGACAUUGUGGUAAAAGUGUUUUUGUGUCCUGUCUGUCAUCGCCGCCAUUAAACCAGUCAGCCGUG